rnacentral:rRNA from 1 species
GAUGAACGCUGGCGGCGUGCCUAAUACAUGCAAGUCGAGCGAAUGGAUUGAGAGCUUGCUCUUAUGAAGUUAGCGGCGGACGGGUAAGUAACACGUGGGUAACCUGCCCAUAAGACUGGGAUAACUCCGGGAAACCGGGGCUAAUACCGGAUAACAUUUUGAACCGCAUGGUUCGAAAUUGAAAGGCGGCUUCGGCUGUCACUUAUGGAUGGACCCGCGUCGCAUUAGCUAGUUGGUGAGGUAACGGCUCACCAAGGCAACGAUGCGUAGCCGACCUGGGAGGGUGAUCGGCCACACUGGGACUAGGACACGGCCCAGACUCCUACGGGAGGCAGCAGUAGGGAAUCUUCCGCAAUGGACGAAAGUCUGACGGAGCAACGCCGCGUGAGUGAUGAAGGCUUUCGGGUCGUAAAACUCUGUUGUUAGGGAAGAACAAGUGCUAGUUGAAUAAGCUGGCACCUUGACGGUACCUAACCAGAAAGCCACGGCUAACUACGUGCCAGCCGCCGCAGUAA